AGAGUUUGAUCCUGGCUCAGGACGAACGCUGGCGGCGUGCUUAACACAUGCAAGUCGAGCGAUGAAGCACCUUCGGGUGUGAAUUAGCGGCGAACGGGUGAGGAACACGUGAGAAAUCUGCCUUCAACACUGGGAUAACUCCGGGAAACCGGGGCUAAUACCGGAUAUGAAACCUGCGGGCAUCCGCGGGUUUGGAAAGUUUUUCGGUUGAAGAUGAUCUCGCGGCCUAUCAGCUUGUUGGUGAGGCAAUGGCUCACCAAGGCGACGACGGGUAGCCGGCCUGAGAGGGCGACCGGCCACACUGGGACUGAGACACGGCCCAGACUCCUACGGGAGGCAGCAGUGGGGAAUAUUGGGCAAUGGAGGAAACUCUGACCCAGCGACGCCGCGUGCGGGAUGAAGGCCUUCGGGUUGUAAACCGCUUUCAGCAGGGAAGAAGCGAAAGUGACGGUACCUGCAGAAGAAGCACCGGCUAACUAUGUGCCAGCAGCCGCGGUAAUACAUAGGGUGCAAGCGUUGUCCGGAAUUAUUGGGCGUAAAGAGCUCGUAGGUGGUUCGUCACGUCGGAUGAGAAACUCUGGGGCUUAACCCCAGACCUGCAUUCGAUACGGGCGAGCUUGAGUAUGGUAGGGGAGUCUGGAAUUCCUGGUGUAGCGGUGGAAUGCGCAGAUAUCAGGAGGAACACCAAUGGCGAAGGCAGGACUCUGGGCCAUUACUGACACUGAGGAGCGAAAGCGUGGGGAGCGAACAGGAUUAGAUACCCUGGUAGUCCACGCCGUAAACGGUGGGCACUAGUUGUGGGGACCUUCCACGGUCUCUGCGACGCAGCUAACGCAUUAAGUGCCCCGCCUGGGGAGUACGAUCGCAAGAUUAAAACUCAAAGGAAUUGACGGGGCCCCGCACAAGCAGCGGAGCAUGCGGCUUAAUUCGACGCAACGCGAAGAACCUUACCAAGGCUUGA
rnacentral:rRNA from 1 species